rnacentral:rRNA from 1 species
GGGCGAGAGCCUGAACCAGCCAUGCCGCGUGCAGGAAGACAGCUUUCUGAGUUGUAAACUGCUUUUAUAUGGGAAGAAAAAGGCCUUGCGAGGCAAAUUGCCGGUACCAUAUGAAUAAGCACCGGCUAACUCCGUGCCAGCAGCCGCGGUAAUACGGAGGGUGCAAGCGUUGUCCGGAUUUAUUGGGUUUAAAGGGUGCGUAGGCGGAUCUUUAAGUCAGUGGUGAAAUCCUGCAGCUUAACUGUAGAACUGCCAUUGAUACUGGAGGUCUUGAGUAUACUAGAGGUAGGCGGAAUUUAUGGUGUAGCGGUGAAAUGCAUAGAUACCAUAAAGAACACCGAUAGCGUAGGCAGCUUACUGGAGUAUAACUGACGCUGAGGCACGAAAGCAUGGGUAGCGAACAGGAUUAGAUACCCUGGUAGUCCAUGCCGUAAACGAUGAUUACUCGAUGUUGGCGAUAUACAGUCAGCGUCCAAGCGAAAGCGUUAAGUAAUCCACCUGGG